UACGUAGGGGGCUAGCGUUGUCCGGAAUCAUUGGGCGUAAAGCGCGUGUAGGCGGCCCGGUAAGUCCGCUGUGAAAGUCGGGGGCUCAACCCUCGGAAGCCGGUGGAUACUGUCGGGCUCGAGUACGGAAGAGGCGAGUGGAAUUCCUGGUGUAGGCGGUGAAAUGCGCAGAUAUCAAGGAGGAACACCAAUUGCGAAGGCAGCUCGCUGGGACGUUACUGACGCUGGAGACGCGAAAGCGUGGGGAGCAAACAGGAUUAGAGUACCCCGAGUAAGU
rnacentral:rRNA from 1 species